CGCACAUUGCGCCCCUCGGUAUUCCGGGGGGCAUGCCUGUCCGAGCGUCAUUGCACCUCUCAAGCGCAGCUUGGUACGUGGGCCCUCGCUUCGUCUCUAGCGGGCUCGAAAGUUAGUGGUCGUCCGGCGAGACUUCGAGCGUAAUCGAUAAUUCCCGCUCCGAAUCGCCUCGUUUCCGGCUUACCAGCAGUUUGAUUUAUUUUCAACGAUUGACCUCGGAUCAGGUAGGGAUACCCGCUGAACUUAA
rnacentral:misc_RNA from 1 species